rnacentral:rRNA from 1 species
UACGUAGGGGGCAAGCGUUAUCCGGAAUUACUGGGUGUAAAGGGAGCGUAGACGGUAAUGUAAGUCUGGAGUGAAAGGCGGGGGCCCAACCCCCGGACUGCUCUGGAAACUAUGUUACUAGAGUGCAGGAGAGGUAAGCGGAAUUCCUAGUGUUGCGGUGAAAUGCGUAGAUAUUAGGAGGAACACCAGUGGCGAAGGCGGCUUACUGGACUGUAACUGACGUUGAGGCUCGAAAGCGUGGGGAGCAAACAGG